rnacentral:rRNA from 1 species
CUACGGGAUGCUCCAGUGGGGAAUAUUGGACAAUGGGCGCAAGCCUGAUCCAGCCAUGCCGCGUGAGUGAUGAAGGCCUUAGGGUUGUAAAGCUCUUUCAGCGAGGAGGAUAAUGACGUUACUCGCAGAAGAAGCCCCGGCUAACUUCGUGCCAGCAGCCGCGGUAAUACGAAGGGGGCUAGCGUUGUUCGGAAUCACUGGGCGUAAAGCGCACGUAGGCGGACUUUUAAGUCAGGGGCGAAAUCCCGGGGCUCAACCCCGGAACUGCCUUUGAUACUGGAAGUCUCGAGGCCGAGAGAGGGGAGUGGAACUCCGAGUGUAGAGGUGAAAUUCGUAGAUAUUCGGAAGAACACCAGUGGCGAAGGCGGCUCACUGGCUCGGUACUGACGCUGAGGUGCGAAAGCGUGGGGAGCAAACAGGAUUAGAUACCCUCGUAGUC